rnacentral:rRNA from 1 species
AUACGGAGGAUCCGAGCGUUAUCCGGAUUUAUUGGGUUUAAAGGGAGCGUAGGCGGACGCUUAAGUCAGUUGUGAAAGUUUGCGGCUCAACCGUAAAAUUGCAGUUGAUACUGGGUGUCUUGAGUACAGUAGAGGCAGGCGGAAUUCGUGGGGUAGCGGUGAAAUGCUUAGAUAUCACGAAGAAAUCCGAUUGCGAAGGCAGCCUGCUGGACUGUAACUGACGCUGAUGCUCGAAAGUGUGGGUAUCAAACAGGAUUAGAUACCCUGGUAGUCCACACAGUAAACGAUGAAUACUCGCUGUUUGCGAUAUACAGUAAGCGGCCAAGCGAAAGCGUUAAGUAUUCCACCUGGGGAGUACGCCGGCAACGGUGAAACUCAAAUGAAUUGACGGGG